rnacentral:rRNA from 1 species
GCCUGAGAUAGACGUUAUUCCGUAAGAUUCACCCAUGCAUGUUUCUGACAUUUGAAAAAUGGAUUGCUCAGUAAUACUCACUUUAUUUUAUGUAAAUUUUUAAUUAACUACGUUAAAGUGUAGAUAAGAUGUUUACAGUAAGAGUGAGACCUAUCAGCUAGUUGUUAAGGUAAUGGCUUAACAAGGCUGUGACGGGUAACGGUAUUACUUUGUAAUAUUCCGGAGAAGGAGCCUGAGAGACGGCUACUAAGUCUAAGGAUUGCAGCAGGGGCGAAACUUGACCUAUGGAUUUUAUCUGAGGCAGUUAUGGGAAGUAAUAUUAUAUUGUUUCAUAUUUAAAU